rnacentral:miRNA from 1 species
GAAGCCCCACUGCCCUGGUUUGCCUGGAACUGAGGCGGCUACUGAGACGUGGAACUCAGUGAUAAAACAAGGAGGGU